GGGAGAUCAUGGAAGAGUCAGCAGACCUUGUUCUUUUCUCCUACUAUAUGCAAAAACAGUACUGAUCCUGCCUGACCUGCUGAGUUCCUCCAGCAUUUUGUGUGUGUUGCUCUGGAUUUCCAGCAUCUGCAGAAUCCUUUGUGUAUACACUAUGUUAGCUUCCGAGUAAGACUAAAGAAGUGGUUUGGGGUGAUAUCAGGAUGAGCGGAGUGACAUUUGCAAUCUUCCAGUCCUCCGGAACCAUGCCAGAAUCUAUUGUCAUGUGUGACGCCAAGCAGAGCUACCGGACGGAUGAUGCUAAUGAGAGAGAUAAUGAAAGACAAUGGAGAAACAUUCAAAAUGCUAAUAAGAGAGAAGAGAGGAAUUAACAGGAAAGAAACACAAUUCAGAUAUUGACAGACCGGUUGCUUUGAACCUGAACUGUUUGAAGUUUGAUGAACAGGUGAUACCCCAGCAGGGGGAUAAAAGGAGCAGGUUUGCUAAGGCACAAGACAUGCGACGAGACCCUGGAACGAGCAGUGUGCCCCCACAAGUGGUGAGAGUUUGGAGGACCGGUUCGCGGGAACCCAUCAGAGACUCACAGGGUGUAAAGGUAUGAUCGGUGGGAACCUGGGGUGUGUGUCUGCCCUUGCCUGGGUGCCGGGUUCACCACAUAAGAACAAUCGUAUCCAGAACGGCGGGGUCACAGUCGAUGACCACAGGGGGAUUAGAAGACAUCAAAAGGUCUGCCUGAAACCAAUUGCAUCU